rnacentral:tRNA from 1 species
GGACGUGUGGCCCAAUGGAUAAGGCGCCUGCCUACGUAGCAGGAGAUUCCAGGUUCGAUCCCUGGCACGUUCA